rnacentral:rRNA from 1 species
CCUACGGGCGGCAGCAGUGGGGGAUAUUGCACAAUGGGGGGAACCCUGAUGCAGCGACGCCGCGUGGGUGAAGAAGCGCCUCGGCGCGUAAAGCCCUGUCAGCAGGGAAGAAAAUGACGGUACCUGAAGAAGAAGCCCCGGCUAACUACGUGCCAGCAGCCGCGGGAAUACGUAGGGGGCAAGCGUUAUCCGGAUUUACUGGGUGUAAAGGGGGCGCAGACGGCGAUGCAAGCCAGGAGUGAAAGCCCGGGGCCCAACCCCGGGACUGCUCUUGGAACUGCGUGGCUGGAGUGCAGGAGGGGCAGGCGGAAUUCCUGGUGUAGCGGUGAAAUGCGUAGAGAUCAGGAGGAACACCGGUGGCGAAGGCGGCCUGCUGGACUGCAACUGACGUUGAGGCCCGAAAGCGUGGGGAGCAAACAGGAUUAGAUACCCGAGUAGUC